rnacentral:ncRNA from 2 species
UCCCCGGCAACGAUACUUGGUGCCGUGACGGCUGGCUGGCCGUCGCGAGAACAGGGAACUUCGGUGAGAUUCCGAGACGGCCCGGCCGCUGUAUCCGACGCCACGAUUCGCGGUGUUUUGUGUGGAAAUCGCUGUUUUUGCGAUUUUCAGCAACGAAACGCGGGAAUCUAAAACCCAAUCCUUUUCUUGGCCAUUGCCGCACAUUGCCUCCCGGCGUCCGCGAUCAUGCGGGCCGAAUCGGGCAGUUUCCGGCGAGAAGGCAAGGUUUGUGGGAAGCGCCGGGAGUCAGAAGACCUACCAGGUAUCGGGCGUCAAA